GGGGAACUGGCUUCCCGAGCUGCAAACUCUUCAAAGAUGAACACUUCCUGCGCGUUCGGUCUGAGCCCGGCUUUUCCCAAGGAAGCUUCUCUAGCUUACAUAAAAGAAACUGACCAAGAGAUGGCUGAACGACUGACUCUGCUGCUCUAAAGGCCGCUCGGAUCAGAGCCGAGAUGAAGGCGAAUAAGAUCAACAAGCCUUCCAAGCCAAAGGAUCCUUCCAAUCCCAAGCCGAGGAAGCGCAAGGAGCGCACUGAGGAAAGGGUGGAGAUGACGGAGAAGGCCUUGGCGA